CAAAUGUGUCACAGGUUUGUAGAUUAACUAAACUUAGUGUUAAUUUUCAUGUGUUUAAACUAGGAUCUGUCCCUUAAAUAGUGAAAAAUAUGUCGUCGUGUUUAAAAACUAGGGUCGGUCACUUCAGUAUAUGGACUAAGUUGUCAUCAUAAACUGAUCUGAAUUUUCAAGAGCUGCAUCAAGACCAAAAUUGACAAAAAAGGAACAGAACCAUUUUAAUUGCUUGUUAGAUACAUUGUGCUUGCAAAGUGGUAUAUCCAAAGUGGAUUAACUUCCCUUGUAUGGUUAAUAUAUAAUCAGUUAGUAAAUAUGUCUGAUAUCAGUACAUGAAACAUUGUGUUUUUCUCAAAUUGAUAUCUUGUGGAUGUAACAAGUCUUGUAAAAACUAGGGGUGGGAAUUCUCCUCAGAUCCACUGUUUUCCUCAUGGAACAUUGUGUUUCCUUGCAUUUUAAUCGUCCUUUCCUCCCAAAUGUGUCCGAUGGCACAGAUUUUAACCUAGGAUUUCAAGAAUUUCUGGGACCCCUCUAGAUUUUCUCUGUUUUUUUUACAGUUCACCAAUUCCCACCCCUGAAAAACACUCCAGUUUAUAUUUACUGUUUUGGUAAUGGAGAACUCGUCUCUUUAUUAAGACAGUGGAGCAGGGACCAGAAUGAUUUUACACAUUCCAGAUUUAUAAUUAUUCUCAUGAGUUGUCAAUCCGAGCUUUCUUGUGAGCUGGUGGAAUCGGGAAGUGACUGGUUUGGUCAGUUUGUUUGUAUUUCUGCAUAUGACAACAAGCCUUAAUUACAUUGUCUGCUCACACAGUCAUUGAUAUUGGUCACAAUUCUUAUUUUGUAGCUGUCUGUGAAAAACCCCCAACUAGUUUGUUCCCACAGAAAGACUGUUGAUAAAUGUGGAGUACAGUAAUAAUGGAUUUAUCUGAGCAUGAACUCCAUAAAAUGUCUUGGCUAUUUAAUUUUUUUAUUUUUAUUUUACAAAACCCCUAAAAUAUUUAAAGGUUGGAUCAUAGAAACAUAAUUUUACACUGCUUUCCAUAAACAUGUAAAUGCUUUUAGGGUUUUAAAAACUUUUUGUUUUCUUUUACAUUGCAUUUUAUACUGUCAAUUUAAUUAACACAAAUUCAGUUACAGAUUGGCAUAAACGUAUUGGCCUGGCCAUGAUAGUACUGGUUCCAUCAGCUCUGAACCUUUUUAAUAUCAUACAAUGUCAUGUUCUGAUUGUGGCAGGUUUGUGUGUAUAUUUUUAGUGACUUAAUAUGUAUAUAUAUUACAGCACUAUGCAUAAUUUUAACUUGUUCAUUUGAUGCAUAAUAAUAAUAAUAAUGGUAUUAUGAUAUUAAAGUAUAUGUUUACGCUAGUCUUACUCUGGUAGUUUGAAGAUGUCUUGACAGAUUAUUGCAUAUAUAUUGUAGGUACCAUGCUUUUAUCAAUGUUUUGUUUUUGUACUCCGAUUGGUCCCAGACUUGAUUACAUUGGACAGAUGGAAGUAAUCGGACAUUGAAUCUAGAUCUUUUAAAAACUUUAUUAUUAACAUUUUGUUAUGGCCAUUAGUGGCAGAUCCAGAAAAUCCAUUUGGGGGAGGUGUGUGUGGCCCAAUGACACAUUGACACAUUGUGGCCAAAGCCAAAAAUAUUCAUGAAAGGAUGCCUCAUAUUCUCCAACAAAAAAAGAAGCUAAAUUUAAGGGGAGGGGGGAGGGGCCCCUUAGAUCCGUCACUGGUCCUUAAUAAAAAAUAUAGUAACAAUAAAUAAAAUAAUGAAAAGUACAUGUUUAAAACAAAUUAUAUAUAUAUAUAUACACAUACAUAUAUAUAUAUAUAUAUAUAUAUAUAUAUAUAUACAUAUACACACACAUACACACAUAUAUACACCCACCACCCAGGAUUUUUGUUGAAUUUACAACAGUAAAAAGAAAUGGCAAUAUAUGUAUGCCCACUAUGCUGCUGUAAUCAACAGAGUGUGUCUCACCCCAACCCUCAUCUUCACAAGCCCUUGGAAUCUCCCAGUGCAAUCAAUUCUGGAAUGACCCAUAUGUGAAGAGAUGUAUUAAGUCACAACAGACCCAAUAUUACAGUGGCGUAGGAAGGUGCCAAAAAAAAGAUCUUCCAUUUUUCUUUUCACUGUAUCCAAGUCUGCAGUCCAUACAAGAAUAUAUUUUGCAUUUAUUUAAUAUUGUAUACUUAUAUCAGGGUUUGUGUUGUCUUCUAGUCUUUAUAGACCGAGUAAUAUCUUGCCUGUCACAUACCUGUGCCGUUGUUCACCUACCCUUGCCACGCUGUUUAAGUCUGCACAGAUGUCUACAGAUCACCUUUUCGAAAGCAUGCACUGUUUGGAAGGAAAUGGUUUAUUUAAUGACGCACUCAACACAUUUUAUUUACGGUUAUAUGGCGUCGGACAUAUGGGCAUGAGAUCCGACUUGCGGCACGGAUUCUGACAUGGGCAAACUUUAACUGAAAGUAGAACAUGAUUAGUACAGUGUAGAAUUACGAUAUAUUUCUAUUGGUCAAUGACCACACAAAUAUUGAGAGAGGAAACCUGCUGUCGCCACAUCAUGGGCUACUCAUUUCGAUUAGCAGCAAGAUAUCUUUUAUAUGCACCAUCCCACAGACAGGACUGCACAUACCACGGCCUUUGAUGUACCAGUCAUGGUGCACUGGCUGGAGUGAGAAAUAGGCACUGUUUGGAUAUGAUUUCUCAGUCUACCAGUACUGAUUAUAGUAACCGUAGUCCCAGUUGGCAAGACAACAUUUUGUUUUCAAAAUACUGAUUAGCAGUAUUGUUCUCGGUUUCAUUAUAGUCAGAUUUAUUGUUAUAGAUAUACCUACAGAAUGUUUUUAGCAUCACAAGAAUUGUGUGGAAUAAUUUGCAAUAUGUUUCUAUUCAACAAGAAAGGUGCUAUAUACAUUAAACCUUUCAACAUGUUUUGUUAAGACAUACGACAAACAAAAUGGCAGCCAUAAAAAGCCUUGCAGUCAUGCAGUUUCCAUUAGCUGCCAUAACUUAAUAUUCGUAAACAAAAAAGCAACAAUAGAAAAUGCCAUCCAUUUUUAAAUAUAAUUUAUUUUUAGAUAUAAUUUUUACAAAGUAUUUGCAUACUCUCCAAGAAAAAGAAUGAAAUGUAGGCAAUUAGAACAUUAAAACAUUAUCCAGGUAUGUUACUAUAAGACCGGGGUACACUGAUACAGGAUAAUAUCAAAUAAUAGUCGGGCAUUCCUGCCAAGACAUGAGAUCCGACUUAUGGCACAGAUUCUGACAUGGGCAAACUUUAACUGAAAGUAACACAUGUUUAGUACAGUAUAGAAAUUACAAUAUACAAUGUAUUUCCAUUGGUCAAAGGGUCUACCCCACCUCCCCCAAUUAUUUGUUGGAAGCCAUGUGACUGACAAAUAAAUAUGGGCCAUUUUUAAAAAGGGUCUCCUUUUCGUUCUGUCCUGAACUCAUUGUUUAUUGCAAAUAAUUUUUAAAUAUCUUAAGAUUAUAGACAACAAUAGCUGUAUAUGUAGCACUGGAUCUAGGAAUAAUGCCUACACAAGUUUGAAUCAAUGGUUCAAGCUUUAAAUUAUUUGCAAUAAAUAGUGUUCUAGAUGAGACAGAAAGGAGAUCUGUAUAUAAAAUUGUUCAUAUAUAUCAUUUGUGGCUUAUUCUAAAGAAAAAAAAACAAUUACAGCAUAAUAAUUACACUGAAACAUAUUUAACUGGCCUGUGGGACUGGCAUCAUUUAAAUUAUACUGGUCUCCAGUAAUUUCUGUUUGUCUGGGGUGAGGGGCUAGUGUUACGUUUCUACCUCUGUUAGUAGAAGACAUACUGAAUAUGACAUUUUUCACGUGGUACCACUUGGCUUAUCAGAAAGUGAAGGUGGCUACAAAUUACUGUAUAUCGCCAUGUAUUGGCCUACUCAAUGGAUACGCCGACCCCUUAGUUUUCCCACUCAAUAUCUGGUGGUAUGAUAUGUAAGCUGACUCAACAUUUAUGUAGCUGAAGCAGGCAAAAAUAUAGAUGUAUCCGAUCGAGAUAAUGUCAGUCUCCUGUAACCCGUGAAUCACAGGAAUUUGUUUUGGUGAACUGAUCAAAAGUACAGUGUACAAAAACUAUUUUAAUAAAGAUUUCAAGAUAAGCUUAUAGGUAUAUAACAAGAUUAAAUUAUCUUGGUUCUGUCAAUGUACUAAAAAUAUCUCUUGACUUUACAGCUCUAAGGCUUGUUGCUUCCAGCACAAAUGACUUGUUGAAUAUUGUAUAAGAAAUUCGAUUUCCUUCCCCCUUUCGAUAUUCUUGCUAUCCUACUAGUAUGAGAAAAUGUAUAACUUACGGAUGUGCACAUAUAAGAAAAUAAACGUAUUGUUAUAUGAAAA